UACGUAGGGGGCAAGCGUUGUCCGGAAUCAUUGGGCGUAAAGAGCGCGUAGGCGGCCCUGUAAGUCCGCUGUGAAAGUCAAGGCUCAACCUUUGAAAGCCGGUGGAUACUGCAGGGCUAGAGUCCGGAAGAGGCGAGUGGAAUUCCUGGUGUAGCGGUGGAAUGCGCAGAUAUCAGGAGGAACACCAAUAGCGAAGGCAGCUCGCUGGGACGGUACUGACGCUAAGGCGCGAAAGCGUGGGGAGCGUAAC
rnacentral:rRNA from 1 species